CUUAACAUUGCUACAGUGGUGGAUUACAUAAUCCCUAUCAAAAUCUCAGCUGACUUCUUUGCAGAAAUUUGACAAGCUGAUCCUAAAAUUUAUAUGGAAAUUCAAGGGAUAAUAGCCUACACAGUCUUGAAAAACAACAAAGUUGGAGGACUUGCACUUCCCAAUUUCAAAACUUAACUACAAUGCUACAGUAAUCAAGAUGGUGUGGCAUUAGCAUAAAGAUAGAUACAUAAAUCAAUGGAAUAUGAUUGGGAGUCCAGAAAUAAACAUUCACUUUUUUUUUUUUUUUUUUUUGCAGUACGUGGGCCUCUCACCGCUGUGGCCUCUCCCGCUGCGGAGCACAGGCUCCGGACGCGCAGGCCCAGCGGCCAUGGCUCAUGGGCCUAGCCGCUCCGCAGCAUGUGGGAUCUUCCCGGACCGGGGCACGAACCCAUGUCCCCUGCAUUGGCAGGCGGACUCUCAACCACUGUGCCACCAGGGAAGCCCAAACAUUCACAUUUUAAUUCAGACAACUAACUGUAAAAAUUUUAAAACAUAGGCAUAAAUCUUCAUGACCUUGGAUUAGGCAAUGGUUUCUUAGAUGUAACACCAAAAGCACAAGCAACAAAAGAAAUAAGAAGUCCUCAAAAUUAACAGCUUUUGUGUUUGAAGGAUAUCAAGAAAAAUUGAAAAGACAACCCACAGAAUGAGAGAAAAUGUUUGCAAAUCAUAUAUCUGAUAAGGGACUUGUAUCUAGAAUAUGUAAAGAAUUCCUACAACUCAAUAAUAAAAAGACAAAUACCCCAAUUAAAAAAUGGGCAAAAGACUUGAGUAGAUAUCUCUCCAAAGAAGAUAUACAGAUGGCCACUAAGCACGUGGAGAGAUGCUCAACAUCAUUAGCCAUCAGGGAAAUGAAAGUCAAAACCACAGCAAGAUACUACUUCACACUCACUAGAAUGACUGUAAUCAAAAAAGACAGUAACAAGUGUUGGUAUUGUGGAAAAAUUGAAACCCUUGUACAUUGCUGGUGGGAAUGUAAAAUAGUGCAGCCACUUUGGAAAGUAGUCUGGCAGUUCCUGAAAAAGUUAAACAUAGAGAGUUACUAUAUGAUCAGAGUAGCCAUAUGAUACCUCCUAGUAUGUACCCAAGAGAAAUUAAGACAUAUUGCCACACAAAAAAUUUUAAUGAAUGUUUGUAGCAGCAUUAUUUAUAAUAACCAAAAUGUGGAAACAAGCCAAGUGUCCAACAAUUGAUGAAUGGAUAAAUAAAAUAUAUUCCAUACAAAGGAAUAUUACUUGGUAAUAAAAAGGAAUAAAGUACUAUCUCAUGUUACAACAUGGAUGAACCUGAAAAUAUGCUAAGUGAAAGAAGCCAGACACAGAAGGCCAUAUAUUGUAUGAUUCUAUUUAUACAAAAUGUCAGAAUAGACAAACCCAUAGAGACAAUAGAUUAGUGAUUGCUUAGGGCAGGGGCUGGGGGGCGUGGAGGGAAAAUGGGAAGUGACUGCUGAGGGGUGUGGGGUUUCUGUUUGGGGUGAUAAAAAUGUUCCCAAAUUGUGGUGAUGGUUGCACAGCCCUGUGAAUAUACUAAAAGCCAUUGAAUGGUACACUUUAAAUGAGUGAAUUUUAUGUUAUAUGAGUUAUACCUUAGUGGAGAUACAUUCUAUCAUCUCAUACACACACAGACAGCAUUCAGGCCUGGACUGAUUUGGAUGCUUCCUGUUUAGCUGCCCCUCCCCACCAGCCCCAGCUGGGUCCCAGGCUGCCCUCAUCACCUACCAUUGCUAGCCCUACUCACACACUUGUGCUUUCCUGCCCCACAGCACUUCAGGACCAUCCUGUGCUUCCCUGGAGGGUGUCUGGGACUCCAGAGCCCUUUCUCAAGACUCCAAGCACCAAGGGUUGGCAAAGCCAUGCUGAGGCCCAGUCUGCCCAGGAGUCACUCAAACUGAGGCCCGUUUUUUGUUGUGAGAUCUGGCUCUCGCUGUUAAUUCUGCACAACUCCCGAGGAUUGGGGUCUUGCUGCUUGAAUCAGUCCCUGGCAGAUUAGAAGCAGCAACUUAGACACGCUGAGAAAUGACAAGAGGGACAGUGAGAGAGAGAAGACCGAAGGUGGGGGAAGCGCUUCACUGCUGGGGCAAACAGCCGUGUGUAACCUCGCCAGAGGACAAGACUGCUUAGAGCUGGAUCAGGAUCGCCUGGCACAGUAACUACCCUCCAGGAAAAAGGCUCUGGGACACCUAAUUCAGGUCUCUUCAGGACCAGGAGGCCGAGAGGGGCCGCCUAGGUUUUCAAAAGAUUGUGGCUUUUAAAGAGACAACUGAAAAUGGUUUAGACAGUCUGAGAAGCAGACUUCGUUGGGGGCCUGGACAACACAUGAAUUGCUGUGGAGAGAUGACUUUUACGAAGGAUGCAAGCGGGGCUUACGGACUCCCGGGCUCUGAAGGGAGAGGUGGCCCCGCCCGGCCCCGCCCAUUGCCCUAUGGCCCCGCCCGCCCGUCCAGCUUCGCACCUGCGUGUAGUGGCCGCACAUCUGGC